rnacentral:rRNA from 1 species
AUACGUAGGGUGCAAGCGUUAAUCGGAAUUACUGGGCGUAAAGCGUGCGCAGGCGGUUUUGUAAGACAGAGGUGAAAACCCCGGGGUCAACCUGGGAACUGCCUUUGUGACUGGAAGGCUAGAGGACGGGAGAGGGGGAUGGAAUUCCGGGGGUAGGAGUGGAAUGCGUAGAUAUGCGGAGGAACACCGAUGGCGAAGGCAAUCCCCUGGGCCUGUACUGACGCUCAUGCACGAAAGCGUGGGGAGCAAACAGGAUUAGAUACCCUGGUAGUCCACGCCCUAAACGAUGUCAACUGGUUGUUGGGUCUUCAUUGACUCAGUAACGAAGCUAACGCGUGAAGUUGACCGCCUGGGGAGUACGGCCGCAAGGUUGAAACUCAAAUGAAUUGACGGGG